rnacentral:lncRNA from 1 species
CCAAUUAGCUUCGCCACUGGCUCCUGGUCACCCAACUCCUAAAAAGCCUACUGCUAAGGGGCAUACCAAGCCACAACUACACCACCCCUAGCCCAAAUGUUCGUCCGCCUCUACUCACUAGUUAGGAAUUUUUCUAUAUUCUAGAGUCAUUGCUACCCGAGCGACCAGAUCAUCUCUAACAAUCCUUGCUAUUCAGAGUGUGCCACAUGGAGACAAAGCUUUAGGAAAGGCUAUCAAUGCACACAGCUAGGGAAGAGAAUAUAAUAGUGCACAUUAUUACUUACAAAUUCACCUAGCUAGUUGGCUCUGACAUAUCCUCUGCAUUCCAUGCUUACUUAACCCAUAGAUCAUAUGCUCACUUUCUUACUCCACCUGAACCUUCGAUCGGGAUGAAACAUUGAUCCAAAUUAUAAUAUUAUUAUGUAAAAUGGGGUAAAAGAAUAAAGCUGAAAUUCAUAACAAAGACACUGAGAAUUAACCAAAUUCAUGAACCAACUAAUCCUCAGGGCCAGUGACUAAUUUUUAUUUUAUUAUUAUUAUUAUGUGAGAGAGCGGUAGAAAAGUAGAUGAAAACAAGCAUCAGUGAGUAUUUAUUCUUCUCUUAAAGGUUAAUCAGUGCUCUUAAUUCUAACCCCCACGAUUUGACUACCCACUUACUCCCCCAACAGUACACACACCCUUUCUAAGUUUUACUGGCUAUACGCAACAAAUAUUAUUCAUUUACUCACAUUUUUCCUCUUCCAUACUCCGUUUCCGUCCGUCCCCUGAACAGUGAAAAACUAAAGUGUCAGAGCAUUCCCCUUUUCCCUGUGGAACAAGAAACAGUAACCACAAACAGUAGAAGUGGAUCAUCGAAGAGACGGACUGUACGUGUUGGGGAGAAAUCCCAGAAUUUCAGGUUUGGAGGGGCAGUCAGUCAGAGUCAGAGACAACGUACAACAAAUAAGGAAGUGGACAGACAGAGGGACCUGCAACAAAACAGUACAUCAUUUCAGGUAUGGGGAAUUUGAGAGAGAGGGGUGGGAGUGCUCUCUCUAUAAACAAUCCUGACAUCAUAGGGUGCUACUGCUAGCUAGCUGCUAGGGGAGGAGUACCUUAAUUUCAGGGAUUCUGUGUUGAGAAGAAUAAUUGCCAGCUGGAAUAUACUCGGACAUGAAUCU